rnacentral:rRNA from 1 species
UACGGAGGGUGCAAGCGUUAUCCGGAUUCACUGGGUUUAAAGGGUGCGUAGGCGGGUUGGUAAGUCCGUGGUGAAAUCUCCAAGCUUAACUUGGAAACUGCCGUGGAUACUAUCAAUCUUGAAUAUAGUGGAGGUGAGCGAAUAUGUCAUGUAGCGGUGAAAUGCUUAGAUAUGACAUAGAACACCCAUUGCGAAGGCAGCUCGCUAC